rnacentral:rRNA from 1 species
GACGAACGCUGGCGGCGUGCCUAAUACAUGCAAGUAGAACGCUGAAGAGAGGAGCUUGCUCUUCUUGGAUGAGUUGCGAACGGGUGAGUAACGCGUAGGUAACCUGCCUUGUAGCGGGGGAUAACUAUUGGAAACGAUAGCUAAUACCGCAUAACAAUGGAUGACACAUGUCAUUUAUUUGAAAGGGGCAAUUGCUCCACUACAAGAUGGACCUGCGUUGUAUUAGCUAGUAGGUGAGGUAACGGCUCACCUAGGCGACGAUACAUAGCCGACCUGAGAGGGUGAUCGGCCACACUGGGACUGAGACACGGCCCAGACUCCUACGGGAGGCAGCAGUAGGGAAUCUUCGGCAAUGGGGGCAACCCUGACCGAGCAACGCCGCGUGAGUGAAGAAGGUUUUCGGAUCGUAAAGCUCUGUUGUAAGUCAAGAACGAGUGUGAGAGUGGAAAGUUCACACUGUGACGGUAGCUUACCAGAAAGGGACGGCUAACUACGUGCCAGCAGCCGCGGUAAUACGUAGGUCCCGAGCGUUGUCCGGAUUUAUUGGGCGUAAAGCGAGCGC